UACACAGUCCUUCUGCUGGAUGCACUCAUGAGCCGAAUGCUGCCCCAGCUGGUGUGCGGCCUCGUCCUCCGGUGCUCCUUGGAGAAUAGUGCUGGCCCAGUCCUCCCUGCAUUGUCCCUGCCAGAAGAAUGGCUGUCAAAGAACUCCAAGUGCCGCCUCUGCAUGUCUGUGACCACGCAGGCCUGGAACAGCAGCGAGCAGGCCAGGCCGCAGGCCAUGCGCCAGGCCUGCCUCAGUUUCCCGCUGGACAGGCAAAAGGUACAGGACUAGCACACGGGGACGUGGGACCCAGCGUCUAGCCAUGAUGGUGGGCGGGGAUAGAAAAGGCUGAGGCAGAGACACACAG
rnacentral:lncRNA from 1 species